rnacentral:ribozyme from 1 species
AAAGUCAAACGCCAAAAGAUGAAAGGAGAGUUCCAACUUUGAUAGGUUUCGGUUUUGUACUUUUUUACAUUUUUUUUUUUU